CCACAUGUAUUCAGGGCUUAAUCCUCAAAGGUAGAAAGCAUAAGAAAAGCAGCACCAGUAAGGUAAAGUAGUAUGCUUUCUACCUUUGAGGAUUAAGCCCUGAAUACAUGUGGA